rnacentral:tRNA from 1 species
GCAGGCAUAGCUCAGUGGUAAAGUGCAUGUUUGGUGUGCAUGAGGUCCUGAGUUCAAUACCCACUGCCUCUG